rnacentral:rRNA from 1 species
UACGGGGGGGGCAAGCGUUGUUCGGAAUUACUGGGCGUAAAGGGUCUGUAGGUGGCCAACUAAGUCAGACGUGAAAUCCCUCAGCUUAACUGGGGAACUGCGUCUGAUACUGGAUGGCUUGAGUUUGGGAGAGGGAUGCGGAAUUCCAGGUGUAGCGGUGAAAUGCGUAGAUAUCUGGAGGAACACCGGUGGCGAAGGCGGCAUCCUGGACCAACACUGACGCUGAGUGAGCGAAAGCCAGGGGAGCAAACGGG